CUGCUGACGAGUGGCGCACGGGUGAGUAACGCGUACACAACCUACCCCUAAGAGGGAGAUAGCCCCGGGAAACUGGGAAUAAUACCCCAUAGUAUUAUUGAGAGGCAUCUUUCGAUAAUUAAAGUUGAGGCGCUUAGGGAUGGGUGUGCGUCCUAUUAGGUAGUUGGUGAGGUAGAAGCUCACCAAGCCGACGAUAGGUAGGGGGCGUGAGAGCGUGGCCCCCCACACGGGUACUGAGACACGGACCCG
rnacentral:rRNA from 1 species